UGGGGAAUUUUGGACAAUGGGCGAAAGCCUGAUCCAGCAAUGCCGCGUGUGUGAAGAAGGCCUUCGGGUUGUAAAGCACUUUUGUCCGGAAAGAAAUCCUUGGCUCUAAUACAGUCGGGGGAUGACGGUACCGGAAGAAUAAGCACCGGCUAACUACGUGCCAGCAGCCGCGGUAAUACGUAGGGUGCAAGCGUUAAUCGGAAUUACUGGGCGUAAAGCGUGCGCAGGCGGUUUGCUAAGACCGAUGUGAAAUCCCCGGGCUCAACCUGGGAACUGCAUUGGUGACUGGCAGGCUAGAGUAUGGCAGAGGGGGGUAGAAUUCCACGUGUAGCAGUGAAAUGCGUAGAGAUGUGGAGGAAUACCGAUGGCGAAGGCAGCCCCCCUGGGCCAAUACUGACGCUCAUGCACGAAAGCGUGGGGAGCAAACAGGAUUAGAUACCCCUGGUAGUCCACGCCCUAAACGAUGUCAACUAGUUGUUGGGGAUUCAUUUCCUUAGUAACGUAGCUAACGCGUGAAGUUGACCGCCUGGGGGAGUACGGUCGCAAGAUUAAAACUCAAAUGAAUUGAC
rnacentral:rRNA from 1 species